AGCAGUCGCCGCGGUAAUGCGAGGGGGGCAAGCGUUGUUCGGAAUUAUUGGGCGUAAAGGGUGCGUAGGCGGUUUGAUAAGUUUGGUGUGAAAUCUCUGGGCUCAACCCAGAGUCUGCAUCGAAAACUGUCGGGCUUGAGUAUGGGAGAGGUGAGUGGAAUUCCACGUGUAGCGGUGAAAUGCGUAGAGAUGUGGAGGAACACCAGUGGCGAAGGCGACUCCCUGGUCUGUAACUGACGCUGAGGAGCGAAAGCGUGGGGAGCGAACAGGAUUAGAUACCCCGGUAGUCCCUGUCUCUUAUAA
rnacentral:rRNA from 1 species